GAUGAACGCUAGCGACAGGCUUAACACAUGCAAGUCGAGGGGCAGCAUAAAAGUAGCAAUACUUUGGUGGCGACCGGCGCACGGGUGAGUAACGCGUAUGCAACCUACCUAUCAGAGGGGGAUAACCCGGCGAAAGUCGGACUAAUACCGCAUAAAGCAGGGGCACCGCAUGGUGCUAUUUGUUAAAAAUUUAUUGCUGAUAGAUGGGCAUGCGUUCCAUUAGGUAGUUGGAGAGGUAACGGCUCACCAAGCCCACGAUGGAUAGGGGAACUGAGAGGUUGGUCCCCCACACUGGUACUGAGACACGGACCAGACUCCUACGGGAGGCAGCAGUGAGGAAUAUUGGUCAAUGGGCGAGAGCCUGAACCAGCCAAGUCGCGUGAAGGAAGAAGGAUCUAUGGUUCGUAAACUUCUUUUGCAGGGGAAUAAAGUGCAGGACGUGUCCUGUUUUGUAUGUACCCUGAGAAUAAGGAUCGGCUAACUCCGUGCCAGCAGCCGAC
rnacentral:rRNA from 1 species